UCGUCAGACGAACGCUGGCGGCGUGCCUAAUACAUGCAAGUCGAGCGAACAGAAGGGAGCUUGCUCCCGGAUGUUAGCGGCGGACGGGUGAGUAACACGUGGGUAACCUGCCUGUAAGACUGGGAUAACUCCGGGAAACCGGAGCUAAUACCGGAUAGUUCCUUGAACCGCAUGGUUCAAGGAUGAAAGACGGUUUCGGCUGUCACUUACAGAUGGACCCGCGGCGCAUUAGCUAGUUGGUGGGGUAAUGGCUCACCAAGGCGACGAUGCGUAGCCGACCUGAGAGGGUGAUCGGCCACACUGGGACUGAGACACGGCCCAGACUCCUACGGGAGGCAGCAGUAGGGAAUCUUCCGCAAUGGACGAAAGUCUGACGGAGCAACGCCGCGUGAGUGAUGAAGGUUUUCGGAUCGUAAAGCUCUGUUGUUAGGGAAGAACAAGUGCGAGAGUAACUGCUCGCACCUUGACGGUACCUAACCAGAAAGCCACGGCUAACUACGUGCCAGCAGCCGCGGUAAUACGUAGGUGGCAAGCGUUGUCCGGAAUUAUUGGGCGUAAAGGGCUCGCAGGCGGUUUCUUAAGUCUGAUGUGAAAGCCCCCGGCUCAACCGGGGAGGGUCAUUGGAAACUGGGAAACUUGAGUGCAGAAGAGGAGAGUGGAAUUCCACGUGUAGCGGUGAAAUGCGUAGAGAUGUGGAGGAACACCAGUGGCGAAGGCGACUCUCUGGUCUGUAACUGACGCUGAGGAGCGAAAGCGUGGGGAGCGAACAGGAUUAGAUACCCUGGUAGUCCACGCCGUAAACGAUGAGUGCUAAGUGUUAGGGGGUUUCCGCCCCUUAGUGCUGCAGCUAACGCAUUAAGCACUCCGCCUGG
rnacentral:rRNA from 1 species